GACGAACGCUGGCGGCGUGCUUAACACAUGCAAGUCGAACGGAAAGGCCCUGCUUUUGUGGGGUGCUCGAGUGGCGAACGGGUGAGUAACACGUGAGUAACCUGCCCUUGACUUUGGGAUAACUUCAGGAAACUGGGGCUAAUACCGGAUAGGAGCUCCUGCUGCAUGGUGGGGGUUGGAAAGUUUCGGCGGUUGGGGAUGGACUCGCGGCUUAUCAGCUUGUUGGUGGGGUAGUGGCUUACCAAGGCUUUGACGGGUAGCAGGCCUGAGAGGGUGACCGGCCACAUUGGGACUGAGAUACGGCCCAGACUCCUACGGGAGGCAGCAGUGGGGAAUAUUGCACAAUGGGCGGAAGCCUGGUGCAGCAACGCCGCGUGCGGGAUGACGGCCUUCGGGUUGUAAACCGCUUUCGCCUGUGACGAAGCGUGAGUGACGGUAAUGGGUAAAGAAGCACCGGCUAACUACGUG
rnacentral:rRNA from 1 species